ensembl:lncRNA
UGUUACUUUUAUUUAUUUAUUUAAUUGUAUUUUUUGUUACUGUGGUAUCAGGAUAUGUCAACAAAGAGCACACAAUGAAAAAGUGACAAAAUCAUGCAGGUCAGGAUCAAUAUUCGACAAGACCAAGACAAGUUUACAAAAUUGGAUGACUUUUAUAUACAGAUUCAGUCAAGGUUUACGUUUACGCCAAGUCGACAUGGUCCAGGAUGGCAUUGCUGGAAGCUCCGCCACCCUUACUAAAAUGACCCGUAAACUGAGAUUAGUCUGCAGGAAAGCCUUGAAGAUGUUCAAAAGGAAGACAGGACAACGCAUGGGUGGAAGAAGGGAAUUUAUUGUGAUAGAUGAAAGCAACAUCCGCCAUAAAAGGAAGAAGCAGCUCCGGGAGGAUGAAGUAUGGAGGUCAGCGCUGCACAUGCAUCACUCAGAAGUGACGUACACAGAAGCGCAGGGAAGAGAUCAAAACAAAACAACGGUCAUGAAUUAGAAAUACAAAUCGAGGAUUUGUACAGAAGAAUGUGACAUUGCACAUUUAUCUGAUCUGAUAUCUGAUCUUAUGGAGGUUUGAGAAAGAAUAGGCCUACUUAUAUUAUCAUUAUUAUUAUUAUUACUAUUAUUGUUGUUGUUUUUGUUGUUAUUAUUUAUACAUGAUCUUUAUCUGCUUUAAGUAAAGUGAACUUAGACCACUUAUAAAUAAUAAGAUCACACUUUUUGGAUAUUUUCAUGAAGACUUUGUCCUUUUACAGUAAAAUGUACUUGUCAUUUUACAGUAAAUGUUAGAUGUACUAAAUUAUUGUGCAAAUUUUAAACAAUGGCAAGAUAUGGGAAAUAUAAUCCAUUGAAAAUUAAAGGGUUAGUU